CGGGUGAGUAAUGUCUGGGAAACUGCCUGAUGGAGGGGGAUAACUGCUGGAAACGGUAGCUAAUACCGCAUAACGUCGCGAGACCAAAGAGGGGGACCUUCGGGCCUCUUGCCAUCGGAUGUGCCCAGAUGGGAUUAGCUAGUAGGUGGGGUAACGGCUCACCUAGGCGACGAUCCCUAGCUGGUCUGAGAGGAUGACCAGCCACACUGGAACUGAGACACGGUCCAG
rnacentral:rRNA from 1 species